AUUGAACGCUGGCGGCAGGCCUAACACAUGCAAGUCGAACGAGUGGCGGACGGGUGAGUAAUGUCUGGGCAACUGCCUGAUGGAGGGGGAUAACUACGGGAAACGGUAGCUAAUACCGCAUAACAUCAGAUGUGCCCAGAUGGGAUUAGCUGGUUGGUGGGUUAACGGCUCACCAAGGGGACGCUCCCUAGCUGGUCUGAGAGGCUGACCAGCCACACUGGAACUGAGACACGGUCCAGACUCCUACGUGAGGCAGCAGUGGGGAAUAUUGCACAAUGGGCGCAAGCCUGAUGCAGCCAUGCCGCGUGUAUGAAGAAGGCCUUCGGGUUGUAAAGUACUUUCAUCGGGGAGGCGUUACCCGCAGAAGAAGCACCGGCUAACUCCGUGCCAGCCGCCGCGGUAAUUC
rnacentral:rRNA from 1 species